UGGGGAAUAUUGCACAAUGGGCGAAAGCCUGAUGCAGCAACGCCGCGUGAGUGAUGAAGGUCUUCGGAUUGUAAAGCUCUGUCUUUUGGGACGAUAAUGACGGUACCAAAGGAGGAAGCCGCGGCUAACUACGUGCCAGCAGCCGCGGUAAUACGUAGGUGGCGAGCGUUGUCCGGAUUUACUGGGCGUAAAGGGUGCGUAGGCGGAUGUUUAAGUGAGAUGUGAAAUACCCGGGCUUAACUUGGGUGCUGCAUUUCAAACUGGAUAUCUAGAGUGCAGGAGAGGAGAAUGGAAUUCCUAGUGUAGCGGUGAAAUGCGUAGAGAUUAGGAAGAACACCAGUGGCGAAGGCGAUUCUCUGGACUGUAACUGACGCUGAGGCACGAAAGCGUGGGUAGCAAACAGGAUUAGAUACCCUGGUAGUCCACGCCGUAAACGAUGAGUACUAGGUGUAGGAGGUAUCGACCCCUUCUGUGCCGCAGUAAACACAUUAAGUACUCCGCCUGGGAAGUACGAUCGCAAGAUUAAAACUC
rnacentral:rRNA from 1 species